rnacentral:rRNA from 1 species
GUGCCAGCCGCCGCGGUAAUACGGAGGGGGCUAGCGUUGUUCGGAAAUACUGGGCGUAAAGCGAACGUAGGCGGCUUUUCAAGUCAGGGGUGAAAUCCCGGGGCUCAACCCCGGAACUGCCCUUGAAACUGGAUCGCUAGAAUCCUGGAGAGGCGAGUGGAAUUCCGAGUGUAGAGGUGAAAUUCGUAGAUAUUCGGAAGAACACCAGUGGCGAAGGCGACUCGCUGGACAGGUAUUGACGCUGAGGUUCGAAAGCGUGGGGAGCAAACAGGAUUAGAAACCCCGGUAGUCC